rnacentral:rRNA from 1 species
CACGUAGUUAGCCGGGGCUUCUUAGUCAGGUACCGUCCUUUUUCUUCCCUGCUGAUAGAAGUUUACAUACCGAAAUACUUCUUCCUUCACGCGGCGUCGCUGACAUCAGGGUUCCCCCCAUUGUGCAAUAUUCCCCACUGCUGCCUCCCGCAGGAGUCUGGGCCGUGUCUCAGUCCCAGUGUGGCCGUCCGCCCUCUCAGGCCGGCUACUGAUCGUCGACUUGGUGGGCCGUUACCCCGCCAACUAUCUAAUCAGACGCGGACCCAUCGUGUACCACUGUCGUUUUCCGCCUUGUGCCAUGCGGCACUGUGCGCAUAUGCGGUAUUAGCAGCCGUUUCCGGCUGUUAUCCCCCUGUACACGGCAGGUUGUCCACGCGUUACUCACCCGUCCGCCACUCAGUUACCAAAGCCGCCAUCGAAAUGUUUGUCCUUGGCACUCCGUUCGACUUGCAUGUGUUAGGCACGCCGCCAGCGUUCAUCCUGAGCCAGGAUACAAACUCU